GAUGAACGCUGGCGGCGUGCCUAAUACAUGCAAGUCGAGCGAACAGACGAGGAGCUUGCUCUUCUGACGUUAGCGGCGGACGGGUGAGUAACACGUGGAUAACCUACCUAUAAGACUGGGAUAACUUCGGGAAACUGGAGCUAAUACCGGAUAAUAUAUUGAACCGCAUGGUUCAAUAGUGAAAGACGGUUUUGCUGUCACUUAUAGAUGGAUCCGCGCCGCAUUAGCUAGUUGGUAAGGUAACGGCUUACCAAGGCAACGAUGCGUAGCCGACCUGGGAGGGUGAUCGGCCACACUGGAACUGAGACACGGUCCAGACUCCUACGGGAGGCAGCAGUAGGGAAUCUUCCGCAAUGGGCGAAAGCUUGACGGAGCAACGCCGCGUGAGUGAUGAAGGUCUUCGGAUCGUAAAACUCUGUUAUUAGGGAAGAACAAAUGUGUAAGUAACUAUGCACGUCUUGACGGUACCUAAUCAGAAAGCCACGGCUAACUACGUG
rnacentral:rRNA from 1 species